rnacentral:lncRNA from 1 species
GGAGGGGAUACUUGGUCAAUGAUGGAUUAGCAUGGGGAGAGAGAUCAGAGGAGUAUAAGUGAUUCAACUGUGUCUGAUAAAAAUUUUGAGAAGAACAGAGAUGUGUUUGGACCACUAUUUGAUUAUUUCAAAGAUAAAUUUUUCAGAGUGGAUAGAGGAAUGAAAGAAACCCGUCAGGGGCAUGGAGGCGUUUAUUGGAAGGCGGAGAUUGGUCAUGCUUCCUUAUUUAUAGAGAAAGUUUUUAUAGAGACUUUUGUAGCGCUUUGUAAACUUAAGGAUUUGAAUCUCUUUGUUGCCAUGGUGAUUUGUGUGAUGAUUUUUGUUGUUUUUUCAAAGAUGUUCUGUUCUUUUUGCGUUGUUAUAUUGGUGUGGUGGGCCUGAUGAGGAUG